UCUACCUCUCUCUUUAUUGCUUAAUCAUAAGUGGCAAGAGAUAAUCAACCAGUCAUGAUCCUGGCAUGGUAGAAAGACUGCACUGGAAAUUGGUUUGCCUGAAGAAAGGAAGUGGUAUUUCUAUGAUACAGCACCUUGAGUGUCUCCCCUCUGGAAUGAAAUUUCUGAGAACCUGACUACUGAUCUAAGCAACAUAUUUUAAUUCAUACCUACCAAGUUCAUGCACUCUGAAAGAGGAUACCUAAACAGAAGUGAUGUGAAGAUCAUCUAUCUUGACUGCAUCUUCAGUGAAUAACCCUACAUCUUCUUCAGUGUCCUUUUAUAUCAGGCUCACAGAAAGAGCAAAUAGGAAUCACUUUUCUAUUUCAUUCUUUCCCAUAUGUGAAGCUUGUGGGGCACUGAGAUUAUUUUUUUAAUGGAUCAAUAAAUCACAUACUUAUGUCUUUGUGAAAACUUCGACCUAAGUGAAAUUGUAGCUUCCAUCCCAUGAACUACCCCAUUUAUUUCAAUGGGAACACCACUGUCAUCAAAAAAAGCUUGAAAGAUUCCAGUCUUCAGAGGAUAGACAGUACUCCAACCCCCAAGGGCUCUUCAAGAUGUUGAUUACUGUUAUUCUUUUUAAAGGGAAUAA